CGCGGCCUAUCAGCUUGUUGGUGGGGUGAUGGCCUACCAAGGCGACGACGGGUAGCCGGCCUGAGAGGGCGACCGGCCACACUGGGACUGAGGCACGGCCCAGACUCCUACGGGAGGCAGCAGUGGGGAAUAUUGCGCAAUGGGCGAAAGCCUGACGCAGCGACGCCGCGUGAGGGAUGAAGGCCUUCGGGUUGUAAACCUCUUUCAGCAGGGACGAAGCGAAAGUGACGGUACCUGCAGAAGAAGCACCGGCCAACUACGUGCCAGCAGCCGCGGUAAUACGUAGGGUGCAAGCGUUGUCCGGAAUUAUUGGGCGUAAAGAGCUCGUAGGCGGUCUGUCACGUCGGCUGUGAAAACUCGGGGCUCAACCCCGAGCCUGCAGUCGAUGCGGGCAGACUAGAGUCCGGCAGGGGAGACUGGAAUUCCUGGUGUAGCGGUGAAAUGCGCAGAUAUCAGGAGGAACACCGGUGGCGAAGGCGGGUCUCUGGGCCGGAACUGACGCUGAGGAGCGAAAGCGUGGGGAGCGAACAGGAUUAGAUACCCUGGUAGUCCACGCCGUAAACGUUGGGCGCUAGGUGUGGGGGACCUUCCACGUUCUCCGUGCCGCAGCUAACGCAUUAAGCGCCCCGCCUGGGA
rnacentral:rRNA from 1 species